ACACAUAGAUUUAAUCCAUAAACACCUUUUCUCACUCUCCUUGAAAAACUCUCUGUUCUUUCUCUCACUCUAAUAAUAAAAGAAAAUAAAAAACACAAUCAAGAUUUAAGUAAUACUCUUAUUAAUCGAACACAUAAGAACAAAUAAAAGUCUCGAAAGAUGAUGAACACAAUGAAGAACACGCAAGUUACAGGCAAGCACUACACCCACCAACAGUGAUGAAGAACAGUGUGUUUGAUGAGAAACAAAUGGUUCGUGUUUAAACAAUUGAAGCUAGUUGGUUCAAGAAACUAGUAUUUGAUUUCACAAAACCACAGCUAGGCAACGGAAAGUCAAGAAUGGGGUGAAAACCGGUAUUUAGCAUGCAACAGGAAAGCCGGUAUUCGUAUGGUGAAAGGAAAGCCGGUAUUUGUAUGCAGAGGUGAAACACGAUCUAAGGUGAGUGAAACUCCGGGGCAUCGGAUAUAUCUGAAAGCGAUUCACCAUUGACGGGUCUUCAUCGUUACUUACGAGAUCUUAAAAAUUAAAAUUUAGCGAAUGGAUGGGAAAAUUCAGUAAGUUUGCGGUUUGAAUCCAAGUGUGUAAAUGAGAGAGACGAGAUUUAGCUUGCACUAGAAGACGACGUCGUUGAAGACGAAGAACAAGAUGAAGCUCAUCUUGCAUUUUUCGAGGUGGAAUCCUUCGAGAUGAAUCUUGAUUCUAAAGAGAUGUAUAUUUUUUAUUGGAUCUUAGAAAUAAGUUAUUAGACUGUGAAUGCAAAAUGAAUUUGUUAGAAAAAAUAUUUAUUAUGUUAUGAAAGUGACGAUGAGCAAUACGUGUAAAUUGGAUUAGUGGAGGAUUAAUUAAUAUAUGUGAAUGUCGAUCUUUGUUUUGUAUAUUUGUG